UGCUUUAUUUUGCAUACACACAUACUUAUAAAUACGUAUCUCAAGAUUUGAAAUUUCGAAGUUUUUACAUAAGUGAAGAAACAGUUUUCUAUCGUCAUUCAUCCAUCGUUCUUUAGAUAAUUAUCAUUGGAGAAUAAGCAUUUGACUGUUCUUAUCAUCACAGUUGGUUGCAUCCUGUAUAAUAAAAUCACAAUAUAAUUACUGGAGAAUUAGCAGUGAAAUUAGCUAAAGGUCCCAGUUGGCUGCAUACUUUAUAUCUUGGUGACAGUGAAGUCCUUGAACUAAUCUGGUUUUUAUUCCUGGAUACAUAAACAGAUUAGACUUGGUAGGAGUCAUUAGAAAAUAAAGAAGAAUAUAUUGUAGCUGUAUUAAAUAUUUUAUUCAUAAUAAUAUCAUUUUGUUUGAUCUUAAUUAUGGAUGUAAAUAAUCAUGAGAAGAAGUGAAGGGGUACAUGUAUGCCCUUGCCCCAGAGCAAAUGAACUUUUUAAAAUGAUACAUCUUAAUGUGAGAAAAAAAUGUGUGUUUCGAUUACUUCAUUGCCACUAUUUAAGAAAGAGCUAUUUCAGUAUUGUGUAUG